UCCAGAAUGAGCAUCAAAAAAUCUGAAGAGCAAUCUAAGAAUGGUUGACUUGCCUGCAAAAAUUUUGCCAACCCAUGCAGCAUUAGUAGCUUAUCUAUAAGAUAAAAUUAAGAUAAAAUUAAAAAGAAUCAAAGGUAAA